CAACCAUAUUACUGGUGCGGUUAACAUAAGUGAAAGAGAUUGCCUUAAGCUUUGUAAUUAGGUAUUCAAUAUCAGACCAAAUUGCUUGGGUUCUCUGGUCGCCACAAAAAUCUUUCCUAGUUAUCUUCUCAAUUACUCCUUCAACGUCGAUUUCAAUUAGGAUUUGUUGAUUCUUCCUUUCCCAGGCAGUUCUCAUGGCGUCUCUUAUUGCUUUGAUUUCCGCUUCUUCUGCCGAGCAACAACCAACAUGUAAAGCUUCUGCAAGAAUGAAUUGGUGAUCUGAAUUUCGGAAUACAAAUCCAAUCCCCCCUGUUUCUGAGUAGAGAUUCCAAGCCCCAUCACAGUUAAUUUUAAUUCAAUUAACAAGUGGAGAAAUCCAAGUUGAGAUAUCAGAGAUCGGUGUAAUUGCAACAAUUUGUUGGAGGUGUGGUUGAUUGAUUUGCACCAGUAGCAUCAAUUUUGCUCUAGCCAAAAUUGAGGUUGGUUCUUCAACUAUUCCAGUAUGAACAAUUAUGUUUCUACUGGUCUUGAACAGCACAUACAGGCUAUCAUUGGGUAUGUACCAAUUCUAUUAGAAACAUCAUUAUAAGGGUUCAACUGCAACCAAUAUCUGAUCCAUUCAUCAAAGAUAUUCUCAAUGGCCAAUAAGUGUAGCUUCCUCUUUUUUGACUUUGGAUCUUCUCCCCACCAGAAUCUAUUUAGGUGAGCAUCUAUUUUAUGGCAGAAAUUCUUGGGGAUUAGAAAGUUUGCCGUCUGGUAUGUUAACAUAGCUUGUCCUACAUGUUGAACCAAAGUUGCAAUGACCACACUUGAUAAGAUAUUAUCCUUUAACCACGUAAUUGCCUUCAGUGAGGCUUUUGCUUCUACAUGAAAAGCUGAUGUAGCCCACUCCAAACCCGUUGAAAGGUGCAUGAAGGUCUCUUCAUCAGCAGAGUACAGGAUGAAAGAAAAUCCCAUCGAAGAAUCUUCUUUCUUGUAAGAAGCAUCAAUGAAGAUUAUCCAGUCUGAAUUUAGGUUGAAACUUUGAAGUUUUCAUUUUUGUUGGAUUGAAUACAUGGGCUUGCGGUUACUGGAACUGUGAUUUUUUUUUCUUUUUUUUGGAAGAGGCCAUCAGAGGCAUUUAUUAAAAAUAAACAUACUGUAAGUGUUAUUACAAUGAGUUAGAUGGCAGCCGAGCCACUAGCUGGGCACCAACACCUUUUUGGAUUGCCAUACCUACUCUAUGAAAUAAAAAUCUGCUUGUGCCACAA